GUUCAGACUCGCGGCGCAUAGCUCAGUAACACGUGGCCAAGCUACCCUUCAGUCAGCGAUACCCUCGGGAAACUGAGGUUAACAGCUGAUACAAAACGCCAGCUGGAAUGCGGCGUUUCAGAAAGAGAUCGCUGAAGGAUGCGGCUGCGGCCGAUUAGGUAGACGGUGGGGUAACGGCCCACCGUGCCAGUAAUCGGUACGGGUGAUGAGAGUCAGAGCCCGGAGACGGUAUCUGAGACAAGAUACCGGGCCCUACGGGGCGCAGCAGGCGCGAAACCUUUACACUGCACGACAGUGCGAUAGGGGGAUUCCGAGUGCGAGGGCAUACAGUCCUCGCUUUUCUGGAUCGUAAGGAGAUGCAAGAAUAAGGGCUGGGCAAGACCGGUGCCAGCCGCCGCGGUAAUACCGGCAGCCCGAGUGAUGGCCGAUAUUAUUGGGCCUAAAGCGUUCGUAGCCGGCCAGUCAAGUCUGUUGGGAAAUCCACGCGCUCAACGCGUGGGCGUCCAGCGGAAACUGACUGGCUUGGGGCCGGAGGACUCGAGGGGUACGUCCGGGGUAGGAGUGAAAUCCCGUAAUCCUGGACGGACCACCGGUGGCGAAAGCGCCUCGAGAGGACGGACCCGACGGUGAGGAACGAAAGCCAGGGUCUCGAACCGGAUUAGAUACCCGGGUAGUCCUGGCCGUAAACAAUGUCUGCUAGGUGUGGCGCAGGCUACGAGCCUGCGCUGUGCCGCAGGGAAGCCGUGAAGCAGACCGCCUGGGAAGUACGUCCGCAAGGAUGAAACUUAAAGGAAUUGGCGGGGGAGCACUACAACCGGAGGAGCCUGCGGUUUAAUUGGACUCAACGCCGGACAUCUCACCGGCACCGACAACAGUAAUGACGGUCAGGUUGAUGACCUUACUCGAGCUGUUGAGAGGAGGUGCAUGGCCGCCGUCAGCUCGUACCGUGAGGCGUCCUGUUAAGUCAGGCAACGAGCGAGACCCGCAUCCUUAGUUGCCAGCAACACCAUUGGUGGUUGGGUACACUAGGGAGACUGCCGCUGCUAAAGCGGAGGAAGGAACGGGCAACGGUAGGUCAGUAUGCCCCGAAUGUGCCGGGCAACACGCGGGCUACAAUGGCCGGGACAAUGGGAUGCUAUCCCGAGAGGGAACGCUAAUCCCCUAAACCCGGUCGUAGUUCGGAUUGAGGGCUGCAACCCGCCCUCAUGAAGCUGGAUUCGGUAGUAGUCGCGUGUCAGUAGCGCGCGGCGAAUACGUCCCUGCUCCUUGUACACACCGCCCGUCA
rnacentral:rRNA from 1 species